GCUACAGGGAUGUGUUUCAGCAGUAUAAGGACAGAUACUGUCUAAACCCAGAGGCUCAGAAACUACUUCAGAUUCAAGCAGAGAAUGAAAAGAUCGAGAAGAGAAUCAGAGAAACUGAGAGCCAAAUAGUGGAGAAAGAGAGAGAGCUGACAGCUGCACUCGGUGUGAAUGACCCUAUUGUCUCUAUUGCUGAUGGUGCUGACAGUAACCACAGCAAUAGUAAGUGUCCAGAAUCUGAAACCUUACAAGCUGACAAUAAUGAGUCAUUGGGGAAACUGGAUUGUCACCAAGACCCUGAAAUGCAG